CGAAAGGGUGACGAAGCGACGCCGCGUGUGGGAAGAAGGCCUUCGGGUUGUAAACCACUGUCGGGAGUUAGGAAAUGUAAGGGUGUUAAUAGCAUCCUUACUUGACUAAGGCUCCGGAGGAAGCCACGGCUAACUCUGUGCCAGCAGCCGCGGUAAUACAGAGGCGGCAAGCGUUGUUCGGAAUUAUUGGGCGUAAAGAGCACGUAGGCGGCUCUGCAAGUCAGCUGUGAAAGCCUUCUGCUUAACGGAAGAACAGCAGUUGAAACUACAGGGCUUGAGUGCGGGAGGGGAGAGUGGAACUUCUGGUGGAGCGGUGAAAUGCGUAGAUAUCAGAAGGAACGCCGGCGGCGAAAGCGGCUCUCUGGUCCGCAACUGACGCUGAGUGUGCGAAAGCUAGGGGAGCAAACGGGAUUAGAUACCCCGGUAGUCCUAGCCGU
rnacentral:rRNA from 1 species